rnacentral:lncRNA from 1 species
GGAAAAGGGCCGGCUUCCCCAUGUUGUCUUCAUUUCCUUUCUUCUCUUAGGAAACACCUCUGAAUGGCCCCACUGCUUCAUAACAGUGCCAUGUGUUUGGGACCAAGAUUUGAACAUACGUGCUUUUGGGAGACUUUAAACUAUGGCACCUGGAUAACUGGAACUACAGAAAGUAAAACCUCAGGUGAAGUUCUGAGGAGAUAUCAAGGCCUUGAGGAUAUGAGACAGAACCUUCUGGAAAAUAUUCUGAGAGCUGAAGAAAGCAAAAGAAGACCUAUGUGAGCAAAAGAGCUAAGGUAUGUUAGAAACAGCAAAAGUGAUGAAAAC